rnacentral:rRNA from 1 species
AUGUCUUCCUCAAGCCAAGUUCCCUCGGCCGGCCUCAACAACACCAUCUCUGAACCCUUAACCCGCACAAACUAUGUGCUUUGGCAUGCCCAAGCCCGAUCCCAAAUCAUUGGGGCAGGCCUCUUUGGUUACCUUGAUGGAACCAUCCCCGAACCAUCAUCCAAAAUCACCUCAAAAAACUCUGAAGGGAAGGAACAGAUCGUUCCCAACCCAGCCUAUGCUGCUUGGUUAAUCCAAGAUCAGCAACUAGUAGCCUAUCUGCUCAGGAAUCUUUCUAAGGAAGUCCUGGUGCAAGUUGCCUCUCUGGAAAAAUCACAAGCCAUCUGGUCCGCUCUCGCAAACAUGUUUGCAGCCCAAUCCAGAUCGAAAGUAAACACCUACCGCACCGCCCUCACCAACGCCCAGAAAGGAUCCCAAUCUGCUGCUGCCUUCUUCGGUCACAUGAGAUCCCUGUCAGAUGAACUGUAA